GGAAGUGCGGUGUUCCCUAAGGCUGCGGUCUCCGAGCGGGCGGAGGCGAGCCUCCCGAAGUGGGGGCCCGGCCGGAAUGGCGGCAGCGGCGGCCGGGACAGGGACUUGGGCAGCCCAGGAAAAGCAGUUCCCGCCGGCGCUGUUGAGCUUCUUCAUCUACAACCCACGUUUCGGGCCGCGAGAGGGAGAGGAAGAAAAUAAAAUUUUGUUUUACCAUCCAAAUGAAGUAGAAAAGAAUGAAAAAAUUAGAAAUGUUGGAUUAUGUGAAGCAAUCGUACAGUUUACAAGGACUUUUAGCCCAUCGAAACCUGCAAAAUCUUUACACACACAGAAGAAUAGACAGUUCUUCAAUGAACCAGAAGAAAAUUUCUGGAUGGUCAUGGUUGUUCGGAAUCCUAUCAUCGAAAAGCAGAGUAAAGAUGGCAAGGCGGUAGUGGAGUACCAAGAGGAGGAACUGUUGGACAAGGUGUAUAGCUCAGUGCUCCAGCAGUGCUACAGCAUGUACAAGCUUUUUAAUGGGACGUUUCUGAAAGCCAUGGAAGAUGGAGGUGUCAAGCUCCUAAAAGAGAGAUUAGAGAAAUUCUUCCAUCGGUAUUUGCAGACGCUGCAUUUGCAAUCAUGUGACCUCCUGGAUAUCUUUGGUGGGAUCAGCUUCUUCCCGUUGGAUAAAAUGACUUACUUGAAAAUCCAGUCCUUUAUUAACCGAAUGGAAGAAAGCCUGAGUGUAGUCAAAUACACAGCAUUCCUGUACAACGACCAACUCAUCUGGAGUGGACUAGAACAAGAUGACAUGAGAAUUUUGUACAAAUACCUCACCACCUCACUGUUCCCCAGACACAUCGAACCUGAGUUGGCGGGAAGGGAUUCCCCAGUAAGGGCGGAAAUGCCGGGAAAUCUUCAACACUACGGAAGUUUACCUCAUUGAUUGAUCAUCUCUGUGUUUACUUUGAAGAUUUCUUACUGGACCCUUGAACCUUAAUGAUCCAGAAGCAAAAUGCAGAUUCCCCAAAAUUUUUGUAAAUACAGAUGACACUUAUGAAGAGCUCCAUUUAAUUGUUUAUAAGGCCAUGAGCGCAGCUGUCUGCUUCAUGAUCGACGCCUCCACGCAGCUCACGCUGGAUUUCUGCCGAAGAUUGGACAGCAUUGUCGGGCCGCAGCUCACAGUGCUGGCAUCUGACAUCUGUGAGCAGUUUAAUAUCAACAAGAGAAUCUCUGGGUUUGUACUCUGCUUCACGUUUACUCUCGUAGACCAGCUGCUUGUGGUCAGGUUGAGGUGCCUUGUACUAAAGCGUGUGGACAGCGUUAACCACUGUGGCAUUUCCUCAAAAUCUAGAGAGCUCGGUCUCCUCUGCAUGUGUCCUAGGAAAGGGAAAGGUAGGUCCCGUUUGGAUGUCCAUUUUACUUCACAGAAGAGGCUGGUGCAGCUUGACGUGGCCUUCAUUGGGGAUAGUGCGAAGUCUUACACAGUGAGCUGCAGUUGCAUGGCCAGGCACUGUACACAAAGCACACAUCAUUCCCAGCACUGGACAUAGUGUUUGUCUCCUAAACCAGGGUCAGCAGAGUGUUUCUUGCAACACAGCAGGUAGUAAAUAAGUUGGACUUCUUGGACAAUGUACUUUUAUUUAAAAACAAUCACAUAGUAGGGGAAAUAUCUUUGGUUGGGAAGUAGACUUCGUCUCUCUGGAAAGUUCUAUCUUGUUAGAUAUCACACGUUGUUAUUAUUGGAUGAAGCAUUGGUUACAGCUUUCUGAGAUCCUUGAUUUGGUGCCGUUGAAGCUGCAAGGCCUUUAUCUGGUUGUGUAAUUCAUGAGUUUCUUGUGCGUGUGUCCAGGUCAGAGAACGGUGUGCAGGAGUCGCUUCUCUCCAUCCUGUGGGCCUUGGGUUCUGACUCGGGUCCCUUCUGAGUCACCGUGCCACUCCUGCCAUAGUCUUAGUUUGUGAAUUCUCUGUUUGUGAGGAUCUCCGGGGUUUUGGUCCAGGUCCCGUGGAUUGAAGGCUGCCCUUCUACACUUUGCCACUGUGGCCGUGCAGAUUGUCACCAUCUCAAUGUCAUGUCUGCACAGGUCUGAAAAAGAGCCCCAGUUUAAGUUCAUCUACUUCAACCACAUGAAUUUAGCAGAGAAAAGUACAAUUCACAUGAGGAAGACGCCCAGCGUGUCACUCACGUCCGUCCACCCGGAUCUAAUGAAGAUUCUAGGGGACAUCAACAGUGACUUUACCAGAGCAGAUGAAGAUGAAGAGAUCAUUGUGAAAGCCAUGAGCGACUACUGGGUUGUGGGGAAGAAGUCUGACCAGCGGGAGCUCUACGUGAUUCUCAAUCAGAAGAACGCGAACCUGAUCGAGGUCAAUGAAGAGGUGAAGAAACUCUGCGCCACGCAGUUCAACAACAUCUUCUUCUUGGAUUGACUCUAACGGCUCACAACACAUCUUUAAAAACCUCAGCAAACCUUUGUUUACCAUUACAACUUACUGGUCAUGAUAGUGACUGGGUCAGUGACACUCGUAAAGCAAUACCCGCUUUGAGAAAUCGAUUUCUACUUGGUCUGAUGAUUCCCCGAGGUUUUUAGAUGUUAGAUAUCUAUGUGGAAUUAAUUAUAGUCAGCUGGCUGUCAUCCCAUCCCGCUGACAUCACGUGGAUAUUUUACUGGGAAAGGAGAGUAAUAAAUUGUUAAAGUUUUUAAAAA